rnacentral:lncRNA from 1 species
GUGUGUGUUCUACGUCGAUCAGAAGCUCCCAAAGGAGCCAAACCCUAGCUCAAGCUUAUUUGCUCAAAUUGAAAGGGGAAUUCAACCCAAAUCUAAUGCAUGUACCCGAAUUCUUAGUCAUCUAGCCCUAAAGAUCACUUGGAACCACACUAGCAUGGACCAAGCAUGGAAGGCUAACGGGUCAAGAUGAGACAAGCAAGCGGGUAUGAACACGGAUGCACAAGAUAUGUAGGUGCGUAUGAUCAGACGUAUGAAUAUAUGAAUGCACGAAGUAGGAUUUAUCGUCUAUGAAAAGAAUGGGACAGGAAUGAGAACGUCAGACUCUUGUAGAAUUGAAGCCGAACCUUGAAGCCUAACUCGGAACAAAGGAAUCCGAGAGGAUAGUCGAAUGAAUCAAAGUUUAUGUUGUCGAAUGUUAUAUGAUUUUUAAUUUGUAUCAGAUUAUUGUUGUAUGACGUUGCCAAUGACUAAUGGUUAAGUUGUAUGUGGCGUCCACAGGUAUUACACGGAUUUCUUCUGCUGCUAAGGAAGUGAAGCGGACGUAGAUCGAGUCAAGAGCAAGGAUUGUAUGGAUAGAACGACCACAUAGUUUGAAAUACGUAAUGCUUUGAAACGUUAAUUUAAUGUAAAUAUUGUAAACCUCUUCCAGUAAGCGCUUAACAUUUUCGUAUUUGAGCUUUUAUGUAAGUAAUGUGUCUAAUAAAGAAAGAAAUUUCAAGGCU